GUUUCGCACGGGGGCAGGAGCGGGACAGAAGAGAGGCGGGCGGGGACCGGAGGGAAAGUGGCCGCGGACAACUUUGCCGGGAAAGCGGGCGACCUCGAGUAGAGAUGGGGCGACCUCCGUAUCCUCGGCCAGCUCCGGGGCACGGAGGACCUUGGGUCCUGCAGCCCAGCUGCCGUUGUCACCCGCGGAGGGGAGCACCGGGUGGCCUCCAGCCGGAACAGCGACGCGGAGGGCAGCCCCGCGCGGGAGGGUGAGGGACAGCCGCCUGUGUGUCGCGGCCCGGGGAGGGACGCUGAGCCCGGGGACACCCCGCCCCAGAUGCCCCCUCACCGUCCGGCGGGACCCGCGACUACUCCGGAGAAGCCGGGUAGCGGCGAGCAGAGCCCAGGAUGCGAGCGCGGCAGAGCGGAGAGCCAGCGCCGCCGCCGCAGGACCACGUACCUUGAGCUCCUGGAUGUCCAGGUCCGUGGAUCUGUCCAUGGAGCGAAACUAAAGGAAGUGGAGAGGAACCGGCCAAGUUGCUCCCCGAACCGAUCUAGUCUUUUAGUUUCCAGCUGAAACUCAGCUUUAUCCUCCUCCAAGCCCUGGCAGCUUCUCUCAGUCUCAUUCUCCGUGGUCUCGCAGCCUCCACCGGUUAAAAAUAAUAUAAAUAAAUAAAUAUUAAUGAUAAUUC
rnacentral:lncRNA from 1 species